UCUUGUGAUAUCUGCCCAUACUAAAGAAAGAGCAAACAAGUGACUUGCCUUGAGAAAUCUACCCCAUUUGGAAGAGAAAUGAAUAGAGAAUGGCUUGGUGAGGCUUCCACCUGAGAAGAGAGAAAGAGUUGAGUGGAAAGGCAAGCUAAGUGAAGGCUUGAUUUUGGAGGAGGUUGGAGCAAACCAAAAAGUUUUCACUUGCAUGCCAUUGUUGGAGCUUGAAAGAGAAAGUGGAGGAUUGGCUUGGUGAUCCUGAGCAAGGAUCUAUAAAGAUUCAAAGAACCCGAUGCAUGCAUGUUGGUGGAUCUUGGAAUGUAUGGUGAUUUUGAGCUAGACAAGUAAUGGGAAGUGUGUGAGAAAGAGAAGUUUGCUGUGGUGGCAUGCUGGAUGAGGUAAUGGGUGACUGGCAUGUAGAAUUAGCUAGAUACACACCCGAAUCAAUAGCAACGUAAUGUCCCAUUAUUGUAAGAUUAACAAGUGCAUGAGAUGCACAAAUGAAUUCAGCAAAUAAAGAUUCGAUCUCAUGACAUUAUAGUGUGAUUUAAAUGGUAGAAUCCGAUUUUGUCCAGCCAUGGUAUUGGUCCAAUUUCAGACAUAAAAGUGAGGUUUAAGAGUCUCAUAAAAUACAGUUAAAUUAAGGGAUCAAUACACAUUGGAAAUCUUCCAAGAUGGGUGAUUAUGUGUGGCUAAUG